CAGAGAGUAGUUUUAGGUUAGAACCUUGGCUUUGGGAGCCAAAAGUGUAGGUUAGAAUCCUACUUCUUUGA
rnacentral:tRNA from 1 species